UACGAGGGGUUCAAGCGUUGUCCGGAUUUAUUGGGCGUAAAGGGUGUGUAGGGGGCUUAUUAAGUCUUCUGUUAAAUCUCCUGGCUUAACCGGGAAAAAGCAGGGGAAACUGAUAGGCUUUGAGGGUGCGAGAGGUUUGUGGAACUAACGGUGUAGGGGUGAAAUCCGUUGAUAUCGUUAGGAACACCAAAGGCGAAGGCAACAAACUGGCGCACUCCUGACCCUGAAACACGAAAGCGUGGGGAGCGAAUGGG
rnacentral:rRNA from 1 species